UGGGUGCAAUGAUUGUUUUUGCUCAAGAAGGUGUUGGAGAUGAUAACUGAUUUCCGGGAGAGGUCCUAAGGUCCAGCCCAGAUUUUCCAGUAAGACUUUUCGGAAUUUGACCAGUCAGAUUAUUGUUCUGUAAAAAUAGUUCACGCAGAUUCUUAAUACUUCCAAUUGAUAAGGGGAUCUCUCCAGUGAAUUGAUUGUUUUCCAAAUGCAAUGUUUGCAGCAUC
rnacentral:misc_RNA from 1 species